rnacentral:rRNA from 1 species
UCCGUAGCGAAAGCGAGUUUUAAUAGGGCGACUAGUCGCUAGGAGUAGACCCGAAACCGGCGCGAUCUAUCCAUGGCCAGGUUGAAGAUUAGGUAGUACUAAUUGGAGGACCGAACCCAAUACUGUUGCAAAAGUAUGGGAUGAGCUGUGGAUCGGAGUGAAAGGCUAAUCAAGCACGGAGAUAGCUGGUUCUCCCCGAAAACUAUUUAGGUAGUGCCUCGUGUAUAACUCAUUGGGGUAAAGCACUGUUUCGACAAUGGGGGUUUUACGACCUUACUGACUCGAUGCAAACUCAGAAUACGAUGAAGUUCGAUCACGGGAGACACACUGCGGGUGCUAAGGUCCGCAGUGGAAAGGGAAACAGCCCAGACCGCCAACUAAGGUCCCAAAGUCAUAGCUAAGUGGGAAACGAAGUGGGAAGGCCCAGACAGCCAGGAGGUUGGCUUAGAAGCAGCCACCCUUUAAAGAAAGCGUAAUAGCUCACUGGUCGAGUCGGCCUGCACGUAAGAUUUAACGGGGCUAAGCUAUGCACUGAAGUUGCGGAAUAUAUUUAGUAUAUUGGUAGGGGAGCGUUCUGUAAGCCGAUGAAGGUGAAUUGAGAAGUUUGCUGGAGGUAUCAGAAGUGCGAAUGCUGACAUGAGUAACGUAAAAUAAGUGAGAUUCUUAUUGGCCGAAAACCCAAGGGUUCCUACGCAAUGUUAAUCAACGUAGGGUAAGCCGGCCCCUAAGGCGUAGCUGAAGAGUGAAGUCGAUGGGAAACAGGUUAAUAUUCCUGUGCUGCUUAUAUGAACGAAGGAGGGACGGAGAAGGUUAGGUAGGCCUGGCGAAUGGUUGUCCAGGUGAAAGUAUGUAGGUAGGAAUGCUAGGCAAAUCCGGUGUUCUGUUGAUCUGAGAUACGAGACGAAGUUAAACUUGUUUGACGAAGCUAUUGAUACCAUGCUUCCAGGAAAAGCUUCUAAGUAUAUUGUAUAAGUGACCGUACUGUAAACCGACACUGGUGGGUAGGUAGAGAAUACUAAGGCUAUGAGAUAACUCUGGUGAAGGAACUAGGCAAAAUGACACCGUAACUUUGGAAGAAGGUGUGCCCUUGAUGGUGAUGAGACUUGCUCUUUGAGCUGUUGGGGGUUGCAGAUACCAGGUGGCUGCGACUGUUUAUCAAAAACACAGCACUCUGCGAAAUCGUAAGAUGAAGUAUAGGGUGUGACGCCUGCCCGGUGCUGGAAGGUUAAUUGAAGGGGUUAGCGCAAGCGAAGCUCUGGAUCGAAGCCCCAGUAAACGGCGGCCGUAACUAUAACGGUCCUAAGGUAGCGAAAUUCCUUGUCGGGUAAGUUCCGACCUGCACGAAUGGCGUAACGAUGGCCACACUGUCUCCACCAGAGACUCAGUGAAAUUGAAAUCGCUGUGAAGAUGCAGUGUACCCGCGGUUAGACGGAAAGACCCCGUGAACCUUUACUAUAGCUUUGCACUGGACUUUGAAUAUUUAUGUGUAGGAUAGGUGGGAGACCAUGAAGCAGCUACGCCAGUAGUUGUGGAGUCGUCCUUGAAAUACCACCCUUGAAUAUUUGAAGUUCUAACUCAGGAGAGAUUCGAGGACAGUGUAUGGUGGGUAGUUUGACUGGGGCGGUCUCCUCCUAAAGAGUAACGGAGGAGUACGAAGGUGCACUCGGUACGGUCGGAAAUCGUGCCAAGAGUAUAAAGGCAAAAGUGCGCUUGACUGCGAGAGUGACGGCUCGAGCAGG